AUUGAACGCUGGCGGCAGGCCUAACACAUGCAAGUCGAACGAGUGGCGGACGGGUGAGUAAUGUCUGGGAAACUGCCUGAUGGAGGGGGAUAACUACUGGAAACGGUAGAUAAUACCGCAUACCAUCGGAUGUGCCCAGAUGGGAUUAGCUUGUAGGUGAGGUAACGGCUCACCUAGGAGACGAUCCCUAGCUGGUCUGAGAGGAUGACCACACACACUGGAAAUGAGACACGGUCAAGACUCCUAGGGAAGUCAGCAGUGGGGAAUAGUGCACAAUGGGCGCAAGCCUGAUGGAGCCAUGCCGCGUGUAUGAAGAAGGCCUUCGGGUUGUAAAGUACUUUCAGCGGGGAGGCGUUACCCGCAGAAGAAGCACCGGCUAACUCCGGGCCAGCCGCCGCGGUAAUAC
rnacentral:rRNA from 1 species